UGGAGGUGAGUGUUUGUAAAUUGUCACACCACCUCAGGACCUAGUAAGGUAGGGGCAGAGAUACAACAACACCCUGGGCAGCAGAAGGGUAGCCACAGCAGAGGUAGCGAACAGGCAUGUUCUGGCCCCUGCACUUUGGAGUAUUCCUGGACCUGUGGAGAAUCCAGAUAAGAAGGAAAAGACCAGCCUGCUGUGUGAAAAUCUGAGUGCAUGUGUCCGUAGAAAUAAAGAUACUGCUACCUGCCGAGAGAGCUGUGAGGAAGGCGCUACUGCAACCUGGAAGUGUCUGUACACCAGUCCGCGCCACGGCCAAGGAAAAACUGAGGCUCCGUCCACAUCAUCAGAGAUUAUCGCCUUUCGGGUUGACUUCAAUGACUUUAUGGAACCAAAGCUGCGCAGUAAAUCCCCACCAAAUAUCAUCGAGACCAAAUGGCCAAUGCCAGGGCAAGAGGAAAAUAGUCCUCGAGAGGGGACUGGUGAAUAUAAGAACUCUGCUACCAGAGGACAUUUAGAGAGGUUCAUCCUGAGCGUCCUGGUUCCUGAAUAUAAUGAUACAACCACAAAACUGCUAGAACUACUGUGACACUUAAUCCUAGGAGAGUUUGCUACAAUUGCAUAUUGGUGAGAUAAAUACAUCUCUAUCAUCCCCCUUUCUAAAAGACCGUUCCCUACCCCUCAAGGCGGUCAGAAGGACAAGGACAAAUGGCCACCCCCCUGACCACAAGUCAACCCAUCUGUGCCCCAUUGGCUGCAACCUGAACAUCCCCUAGGGUUUACAGACCAGUUUAGCUCUCCAAGAUGGGGGCCAAAGGUAGACUGGCCAUAGACCCUAAAGGGAAAUUUCCCUGUGGGCCGAUGCCCAAGGGGCUACCCGAGCCCUCCUCAUGGCUGCUGGCCGAGUACAUAAAGAUCUCGGACCCAGCGGAGGCAGAGCGGGCGCAGGCUGGGAGUGCAGCAGCCGCAGAGUUGACAUCACCGACUCACCACGUAAAGCUGCCCGCCCGCGUGAACGCUUGCUUCUGUUCUGCGACUGCAAGCUCUGCGACUGCGUCUGCUAGUGUCAGUGAUCCGUGUCUGUGCCCGGCCCAGGCCCCAGCUUCGGACAGGAGGACUGUGUGUGGCUCACUGUGGCAACGUCCCAAGAACUCUGCCUGCCCUGGCCGGACCCUAGGCAAGCUAAGAAGAAAACAAAAGAAACUGAUGUUUUGUCCAGUGCUGAGGAGCAACUGUCAGAACUUGCAAUGGGAGUAGAAGAAACCUCAGCAAAAGUGGAGCAAUGAAAAGGAAACCGUAGGUCGUGCCUAGUGUCUACCCGGC